rnacentral:snRNA from 1 species
AUCCCUUCUCUGUCUUUUGGCUAAGACUAAGUGUAGUCUUUCUUCUUAUCAGUUUAAUAU